rnacentral:rRNA from 1 species
UAGGGAAUUUUCGGCAAUGGACGAAAGUCUGACCGAGCAAUGCCGCGUGAACGAAGAAGUAUUUCGGUAUGUAAAGUUCUUUUAUUAGGGACGAAAAAACAAAUUGACGGUACCUAAUGAAUAAGCUCCGGCUAACUACGUGCCAGCAGCCGCGGUAAUACGUAGGGAGCGAGCGUUAUCCGGAAUUAUUGGGCGUAAAGGGUGCGUAGAUGGCACAUUAAGUUUUCUGUAAAAAUGCUAGGCUCAACCUAGUAGGGCAGAAAAUACUGAUGAGCUAGAGUACGACAGAGGCAAGUGGAACUCCAUGUGUAGCGGUAAAAUGCGUAGAGAUCGGUAGGAACACCAGUGGCGAAGGCGGCUUUCUGGACUGAAACUGACGCUGAGGCGCGAAAGCGUGGGGAGCAAACAGGAUUAGAUACCCUGGUAGU